UCUCCCUCCCUCUCUCUCCUCCCUCCCUCAUUCUCUCUCUCUGCUUCUCUCUCUCUCUCUUUCUUUCUGUCUCUCCUUCCCUCUCUGUCUGUCUGUCUGUCUCUCUCUCUCCCUCCAUCUCUCUCUUCUCCCUCCCUCUCUCUCCUCCCUCCCUUUCUCUCUCUUUUUCUGUCUCUCCUUCCCCCCCCUCUCUGUCUCUCUGUCUGUCUCUCUGUCUCUCUCACUCUCUCUCUCUCUCUGUGUCUCUGUCUCUGUCUCUGUCUCUGUCUCUCUCUGUCUCUCUGUCUCUCUGUCUCUCUGUCUCUCUGUCUCUCUCUCUCUCUCUCUGUCUCUGUCUCUCUCUCAAAUUACUGAUAUUUGCUUUUAAUAUCUUUCCUCCUCCAUCCCCAGAGAGCUAGCUCUCUUAAUAUUUAAAAAAGAAAGUUCACAGGAAAGCAAAACGGACCAGCAGAUCCACUGAGAUUGACAGCAGCUAUAAGUCCCCCCAACCUUCGCCCAGGAGGGAAGGAGGCCCGUUUUCUCUUCUCCUCUUUGGGGCGAAGCCUUCUUAUUACAAUUAAGACAAUUUUGAUUAUUUUUUUGGUCUCACCAUUUUUAUUAGUAUCAUGAAUUUGAUUGUGUUCCUAGUUCUGCUAUGUUACUCGGCAUCCCUUCAGAUGCAUCUCUCCAUCCUUCUCCACCUUCUCCGCGUUCUGCUUGGCCAUUGGUUAUGAAGACACGACAAUAUUCCAUUACAUUUGUGUUGCCGCUGGUGGUUUGGCCAUGCCCCGAUGGAGGAGCAUCUUCUUUGUUCUCAGUUCUUUGCCACUACAGAAAGGCCUGCUAGAAAUAUUUUAGGGGCCUCCUCUUGUCCAGCGGCCCCACUGCUUAGCUUUCUCAGUUUGAGAUGACCAGCCUCCAGGGAAGCAGAGGGGGGCCUGGUCAUUGAACCCCCAGCCUGGGACCUCUGGGGAGCCGCCUCCCCACGGAAAGGACUCCCCUCGAGUCCGCAGGGACAGGGCCUGGACGCCUCCUGGAGAUGCAGGCCGCUCUGACCAGCCAUCGGGAAUUUUUCUUGAGAAGCGUCACCGAAGGCCAUCUGAAUGCAGCCCUGGACGCCCUACGCUCCUGCCGCGCUUUGUCUCGGGCCAGUUACGAGGCCAUCUGCGUGGCCCCCACAAGGACGGCCCGCGUCCGGGCCCUGUUGGACACCUGCGUCUCCCUAGGAGAAGAGGCCUCGCGGGCGGCUUUGGCUGUGCUCCUGGCUCCCCCUCGGCAGCGGCGUAGAAGGUCGGCUACCAUGAGCUAUUCGGGACCCUCGAGGCAGGGGCAUUAAGUGCUUGGAAGGGUCCGAGGAAUCACCAGAUUGGGGGGACAGAGCAUUGGCCAGGGAGACGAGAAGCGAAGCUGAUGCUCUUACCUGUUGUGCAAACUUGGACACUUGUGGCCCUCGGAGGGCCUCGGUUUCCUCAUCUGCAAAAGGAAGUCACCCCAGAGGAACCAUUCCCGAUCCAAGGGUUUUGAGUGCGAGUUCUACACCACGGUGCCUGGAGGACGCUGAGUUGGCUUGGUGGCCUAAAAACAGCAGAGAAGAGAGCAGGGGGAGAGGAGUGAGUCGCCACGGCCUUGGGAGAAGAAGGGAGAUCUAGAACCCCCUUCUCUCCACUUCCUUCAAGGCUAAGCGCGCCUCUCACCUCCUCCUAGGAGAAAACCAGCCUUUUCUGACUACCCCAGGCCCAGGGGCCUUCGCUUUUUCUGAGGCAGCCAUAGCACAGUGGCAAGAGCAUGGAAUCUAAAACCGGAUUCAAAUUCUGCCUCUUCUGUGUUCUUCUCCGUGACCUCGGUCACGCCCUCGUGCAUCUCUGGGCCUCAGUUUACUCACCUGUAAAAGGGGGAGGCAGGACGAGGCGGCCUCUAUGGUUGCUUCCAGUUCUAAAUGGAUGAACUGUGAUCCUUGUGAUGUUGGUUCUUCAGUGUUUGUAUUAUUCUCUAUUUUGCACAUGGAACAGUCGUUACAGGAACUAGCCUGUAAAACAACCUUCUUCUGUCUCCCUCAGUGCCUUGGAUAGGGAUAGGGAAUACUUGCUGUUUAGUUGGUUGAGCGGACCCUGGGAGUUCUUCUGGUUAUUCUUCUUGGGCGCCAUUAUGGGGCAUGUGGGCAUAUGGGAUUAGAGCCCAAGAUAUAGAGUAGAAUUAGGGAAAUGUGGCAAAACCCAGCCUGAGGGUGGCCACGCCACUCCCCUCCUUUCCCCGGGGUUCAGUCUGGCCCUUGGUGCCAGCUCUGGCUCCCCAUAGAUUUCCUGGGGAUCAACCUCUCAGUCCCUUUGCCCUGCCUCAACCAUCUAUGUGUGUAGGCCGUAUCUGGGAAUGGCAGUAUGUUGGUGCCUUGUGGCACAUUUAUGGCACAUCAUGACUGAUAUGCUCAUGAAAGAGGGCUUAAAAGGCCUGUUAUCAAGUAGGCCUUCCCACUAGGUCCAACUGGAGACAACAAAGGAGGCAGUGUGGUCGAAUGGAAAGACCCCUGGAUUUGGGGUCCGACCAGUUGGAGUCUCAACCCUGCUACUGACCCCCUGGGUACCCCUGAACAAGUCACACUGGAAAUACAAAGUGGAAGAAAAAUACCUAUUUCCCAGGAUGACGCGUAUAUUUGAAUGGGGAAUCCAUAGAAUUAUUACUUUGGCACAUCCAUCUUGGGCAAAUGGUCGGUCGAAUAAGCUGAGCCUAAAACAAAAUGAGAUGUUUGGUUUUUUAAAAAGUGAAGGUAUUGAACUCAUGACUUCCAAGAUCCCUUCUUUAGACUCUAGGAUCUCUGAAUCUGACCCAAUAAUAGAGGUAACUAUGUGGUCCUAGAGGGGAAAAGACCUGAAUUCAAAUCUGCCUCAGAUACUUAUUAGCUUUAUGACUACUUAAUCUCAGUAAGCCUCAGUUUCUUCUUCUAUAACAGUGAUAGUCAUCUAUCUCACGGGGUUCUUGGGAGGGUCAAAUGAUAUAACAUUUGCUUUGCCAACCUUAAAAGACCAUAUAAAUGUUAGCUAUUAUAAGUAAUCUGAGUAGAUGAGGGGGGUACCAUAACAAGUCUUGGCAUACUAUUUGGGGGGCUGGAAAUACUUGAUUAUGUGUCUCUCACCUCUUUCUAGGUUAAGGAAAUGUCAGCAAGCACAUUAUAUUUUAUAUUAUAUUUACAAGUUUAUUUUAAUAACCAGUGGGGGGAAAGUGGCAUUAGGACAUACAGGCAAAAUGCCUUCUGUAGUUUGCCCUUUCUGGACCCCGGGGUAAACAAGUAGGGCUAAACUUUGGUUUCAGGAAGGGGAACAAGGGUUUGGAGUUUAGAAGUCAGAAUAUGACUUGUAAUGGCCUUCCAGCUCUAGAUUUAAGAUCGUAUAAACUCUUACUAGAAUAUAGGCUCCUUGAGGGCAGACUUAGACUGCCAGAUUUUGACAUCUUUGUAUCCUCAGAACCCAGAAUAAUACCUCUUUUCUAAUAAUACAUAAAUUGAAUUAAAUACAUGAAUACAUAAGUUGAAUUUAAUUAUACCAGGUCUCAGAGGUGAGUCAGAAUAAAUCCUCUUCUGAAGACUUUGAUUCCCAAAUUGUCUGGAUACAGGGAGGCAUCAAAUGGUCAUGGAGAAUGGUGGAAGGUCCUAAUGGAGAGGGAAACAUAUACAAAUGGGGAAAAGGUCGGUGAUUUAACCAGUUACCUUGGGUUGAGGUAGUAACUCAAUUACAGUACUAAAGGCUUGUCUCAGAGAUGCAGAAUUUGGGAGCUCAUUGGUUGAUUGGUCCAUUGACAGCUUCAUCUCUGUGUGCCUUGUCUUCUACCAUCUUGGGAUUAAGCUUCAGGAAGAGUGUUAAGGAUGGAGUCAGUCUUGGUGAAGUAUAAAUUGCCCAAAUGGAGGCAGGGCACCCAGCUCCCGCAUACCUACUCCAGCUUUGUUGUUGUUCAGUCAUUUAGUCGUGUCUGACUCUUCAGGACUCCAUGGACCAUAGCACACCAGGCUCUUUAUCCCCCACUAUUUCUUAAAGUCUCUCCAAGUUCAUGUUCGUUGUUUCCAUGAUACUAUCCAUCUCAUUCCUUACUCUCCCCCUCAUCCUUUUGCCUUCCAUCUUUCCCAAUGAGUCCUGUCUUCUCAUUAUGUGGCCAAAGAAUUUAAACUUCCUCCUCAGUAUUUCAUCUUCCAGUGAGUAGCCUAAAUUAACACACCUCAAAUUCAUGCCAGGCUGGAAGAAAAAAGUGACUUUUUCCAUUUUAAAACUACACAAAAUGUCAAGCAGGAGUCUAGAGGCUAUUACUGCCAGAUAAAGCCAGCUCCAGCACAGGCAAACAAGCCUAAUGUUCUAGUGGAUGGAAGAGAUAUUUGCUGUCUACAAAGUUCUUCCCAGAGUAAAAAAGAGUGAAAGUUCCCUUCCCCUCAUGCCCCUUUCCCCCCAAAAAAAGACCCAGGGUAGGGACCUUGGAAGCCCUAGGGAGGAGGAGAGUCAAGAUGGCAGAGUGAGAUGAAACAUUUUUACCUAGCAGACCUCCACAAAGACCUAGAAGAUGCACCAGAUCAAAUUUUAGUUAGGAAAGCUAAGAAAAAGUUGCAGUGAGUCAUUUUUAUCACUGCAGGGAGAUAGACAAAGAGGUCUUUGAACACUGGGAAGAUGGUCUGGCUAAGAGCUUUUGGUGGUGGAAACAUUUUAGUACCCAGGGAUGAAAAGAAGAACAAGACAAAGCACUAAAGGAGGAAGUACUGGGGUAGAAAGAUGCCAGGAGAUUCCCGAACUAGUGCUAAUAUUGGGAUGGUUGCCAUCUGCCAGCUUUGUCAACCAUUACCCAGUUCUGGGUCACAGACAGAGGGUAGAAAGGAGUGGUUGCAAAUGUAUGUGGGUCCCAGUUGGGUAAUGAGCAAGGAACAAGUUCUGGAAAUGUUCUGAGACCAGGAACAGAGAGGAGACGAAGUUCUAACCUUUAGACCAGCAUGUGAAUCUCAAGUAGAAUAACCAGGGCCAGGAGCCCUUAACCAAAAGAGAGCCAGCUGUUUAAUUUCUCAGAACCUAUAGAACUUUUCAGAGGGCCAAGAAUGACAGUUCAGCAUCAGUCUACUGAAACUUAAACACACAGAAGCCAAACAGACCCAAAUCUAGAUCAGGAACUUGCAAAGCUCAAACCAAGAGAGCUGUAAACAGAUAUCUCUCUGGAUCACACCACUUUAUUGGUUACCAGACUGAGCUGUAAAACAGCAGCGGAUAUAAAAGGACAGAAGCUCAGGUCAAAUAUCCCCAAAAUACACAGAGCCCUGUACUAACACGAAAUCCAAAGUCAAGAAGGAAGCUUAAAGACUGAACAAAUAAUCAAACAAAAAAACCAAAACACCCAACCAUAAAGCACUUUUAUUCUGACAAAGACGCUUAAGAUUCAAACGUGUAGUAGAAUAAUUACUUUAAAAGCUCCAUAAACAAAGUUUCAAAGAAAAAUGUAGAUUAGAUCUAAAUUCAACAUGUAUUCCUGAAGAGUUAAAGAUUUUUUUUAAAAGAGCAAAAUUUUAUUUUAAAAACUAAAUGAGAUUAUCAAAGAAAGAUAUGAAAAGAGAAUUAGCAACUUUGUAAAAGAGAUACAAAAUGUUACAUAAGAAAAGAACCCCUUGAAAAUUAGAAUUGACAGUGGAAGCAAAUGACUCCAUAAGACAUCAAGAAAUAGUAAAGUCAAACAACUGAAAACAGUUAAAGAAGAUGUGAACUAUCUCAAAGGAAAGGUGACUGAAUUGAAAAAUAGAGGAGAUAAUUUAAGAAUCAUGAGAUUAACUGAAAAUUAGGAACAAAAAAAAAAACCCUAAACAUAAUAUUUCAAGUAAUUACAAGAGAAAAUUGCCCAGAUAGAUAGAUGUCUGUCUUAGAAUCAGAGGAAAUGGUAGAAAUUUCUAGUCACCUUCUGAAGGAAACCCCAAAAUGAAAAGCCUCAGAAAUUUAAUAGCCAAAAUCCAGAGUUCCCAGGUCAUGGAAAAAAUAUUGCAAGCAACCAAAAAGAAAGAAUUCAAAUACUGAGGUGACACUUGAACUUUACUCUCAUCUGAACUUGUUUGAGGAAGGAAGAGCAAACAUAUACACACACAAUUGGGUACAGAAAUUUAUCUUAUUAGAUAAGGAAACAGGAAGAAAAGGAAUUAAUGGAAAGGUAGGGGGCUAAGAGAGGCAUUAAGCAAAAGACUUAAAGAGGGCACAGUGAGGGAAAAAAAAUAAAGAAGAGUAUAAGAAAGUAGGAAGAAGGGAAGUAAACAAUUAUAACUAUCAAUGUGAAUGAGAUAAAUGCAUCCAUGAAAUAGAAGAGGAUAGGAGACUGGUUUAGAAACAAGAAUUUGACAUGUUUAUUAAAAAAUACAGUUGAAACAGAAAACUGCACAUAGAGUCAAAAUAAUGUGCUGGAAAAGAAUAUGAUAUGCUUUAGCUGCUAAUGUUAAAAAAGGCAGGGGUAGCAAUCCUGAUCCCAGACAAAACAAAAGCAGAAAUAGAUCUAAUUAAAAGGGAUAAGCAAGGAAAUUAUAUUUUGUUAAAAGAUACUAUAGAUAAUGAAUUAAUAUCAAUACUUAACAUAAAUACAUCAAAUAGCACAGCAUCUAAGGUUCUCAAAGAAAAACAAGUUACACAAGCACAGCAAAACUAUAAUAGUGAGGGACCUCAAUUUAUUCUGCUCAGACCUAGAUCAAUUUGGUAAAAUAAAGAGGAGUUAAAGAGAUGAAUAGUUUUAGAAAAAAAUUGAGAUAAUAAAACUUCUGGAAAAUAUUAAAUGAGAAAAAAAGGAAUAUACUUAUUCUCAGGUAUGCAUGACAUCUUCAGAAAAAAUUACCCUGUAUUAGAACAUAAAACACAAACAAAUGCAGAGAAGAAAAAAUAUUAAUAAACUUUUUCCUGUCCAUAAAGUAAUAAAAAAUUACAUUCAUUAAAGGAUCUUUAAGCAAUGAAAAGUUAUGUCAAAAAUUGUGGGAUGCAGCCACAGCUGUACUUAGGGGAAAGCUAAUGACUCUGGAUGUUUACAUCCAAAAGAAAAAGCAGAUCAACAAACUGGGCAUACAAAUACUAAAAAGAAAAGUAAAACAACAAUUAAAAAAUUAUUAUUUUUAAUACAUUUAUUUACAUUUAAUACAUUUAAGGCAAUUUAAGACAAUAAUUAAAUUGUUAAAUGUAAAUAAUUUUAAAAGCUACUGAAAUGAAAAUCCUAAAAAUCAAAGGAGAGGAUAAAAUAAAAAAAUUGAAAAUAAAAUAGUUAUUAGACUCAUAAGUAAAAUUCAAAACUAUUUUUUGGCAAAUAAUAAAAACAAUAACACAGGCCUUUAGCCAAUUCAAUUUUUAAAAAGAAGAAAACCAAGGUUUCAGAAUCAAAAUUGAAAAGGUGAAUUCUCAAUCAAUGGAGAAGCAAUGAAAAGCAAUUAUUAGGAGCUCUUUUGCUCAACUAUAUGCCACUACAACUGACAAUCUAAAUGUAAUGAAUAAAUAUUCACAAAAACACAAAUUUCCCAGAUUAACAGAACAAGAAAUAGAAUAUUUAAAAAUAAUCCCAUCUUAGAAAAAGAAGUUGAACAAGCCAUAAAAUGAACUCCCAAAGGAAAAACUCUAAGACCAGAUGGAUAUACAAGUGAAUUUUACCAAACAUUUUAAAAUCAAUUCCAAUAGUAUAUAAACUAUGGGAAGGAAAAAAAAACAGGUUAACAAGAAAUCCUACUAAAUUUCUUCUAUGAUACGAAUAUGGUCCUGAUAUCUAAACCAGGAAGAAUCAAAACAGAGAAGGAAAAUUAUAGACUAAUUUCCUUAAUGAAUAUUGAUGCAAAAAUUUUAAAUGAAAUGCUAGCAAGGAAAUUACAGCAAUGUAUCACAAAGAUCAUACAUUAUGACCAGGCUGGAUUUAUACCAGGAAUGCAAGGUUAAUUUGCUAUUAGGAAAACCUUAAGCAUAACUGGCCACAUUACUAACAAAAACCAUAUGAUUACUUCAAUAGAUGUAGAAAAAGCAUUUUUAAAAGUUGUUCAAAGAAAAAGCUUUUGACAAAAUAUAACACCUGUUCCUAUUAAAAAUACAAGAAAACUCUAGAGACAAAAAGAAA